GAAUCUUGCGCAAUGGACGAAAGUCUGACGCAGCAACGCCGCGUGGGGGAUGAAGGCCUUCGGGUCGUAAACCCCUGUCGAAUGGGACGAAAAGCCCGCGAUUUAACAAAACGCGGGACUGACGGUACCGUUAAAGGAAGCCACGGCUAACUCUGUGCCAGCAGCCGCGGUAAUACAGAGGUGGCAAGCGUUGUUCGGAAUUACUGGGCGUAAAGGGCGCGUAGGCGGCCUUCUAAGUCAGACGUGAAAUCCCCCGGCUUAACCUGGGAACUGCGUCUGAUACUGGGAGGCUUGAGUAUGGGAGAGGGAUGUAGAAUUCCAGGUGUAGCGGUGAAAUGCGUAGAUAUCUGGAGGAAUACCGGUGGCGAAGGCGGCAUCCUGGACCAUAACUGACGCUGAGGCGCGAAAGCUAGGGGAGCAAAC
rnacentral:rRNA from 1 species